GGGAAGAGCAGAUGGGACUCGCCAGCAUCCUCACGGCAGGGCCGCGCUAUUGCCCUCCCUCCCCUCCUACUCUCUGGGGUCCCAGGAGCCCCAGAUACGCAAUGCUGCCAGGCGAUUUCUGGCGCCCCGCAGACCCCUGCCCCUGGAGUUGGGCCAGGUCCCGGCUGGAGCAAAGGGGGCUCCUUCAAGCCCGCUCCUCCCUGUCAAACCCGAGGAGCCUGACAGGCGCAGCGUCACCAGCGUCACCGGGCCAUAGUGAGCGGCCAAGCCAGCGUCACCGGGCCAUAGUGAGCGGCCAAGCCAGCGUCACCGGGCCAUAGUGAGCCGCCAAGCCAGCGUCACCGGGCCAUAGUGAGCCGCCAAGCCAGUGUCACCGGGCCAUAGUGAGCGGCCAAGCCUUGGUCUGCCAGAGCCGGCCGCACCAGAAGGAUUUCUGGGUCCCCAGUCCUGGAGGAGCACACGGUUUACACCAGGCCUUGGGAGGGGAAGAGGCAAGGCGUGGGCCCAGCCCUCACUCCCCAGGAGAAACCCUGUUUGAGCGGCAGAGGAGACUGGAGAGACCCCAGGGCGGGGAUCCCUGAGAGGAGAGAAACCCGGAAUUCAUCCACGGAGGCGUUCACCCAGAGGAGACCCGGAGCUUCUCCAGGAGAGGCUGGAUUGCUCCAACAGGGGCCCUGAGGAGCUGAUGGCAAGAGCGGAAGGCAGCUCUGACUCGUGCGUCUGACUCCAGGAGACGGAGCUUAAUGUCACUCCCCUUGAGUGUGGACUGAAUUUAGUGACUCAAUUUCCAAGAAUUGAGCAAGAAAAGGGAAAAAUAAUAACUUUAUGUUGGAGAAAUGCACAGAGUUCACCUUGCCCAAGUGAUCAAAGGUGACUUCACAGUGGUAAGUCAGGACAAUACCCUGCACCCUGACGUGAUGUCGUGAAAGGGCACUCGCGUACGUGGUAUUCUCUCCACAAGUCCAUAACCCACGGCAAUUGUGAGUAAGCCUCAGACAAACCCCCACCGCGGGUCACUCUCCGACAUUGCUGGCAAUCCUCUUCAAGAGUGUGCAGGUUAUGAAAGGCCAGGACACACUGAGAAAGGGUCCCAGAUGUGAGGAGACGAAGGAGAUUUGACAGGAGAAGCAUGAUGGGAUCCUGGAACAGAGCAAGAACGUUAGUGAAGAACAGGUGAAAUGCUGCUAGAGCCUGUUGGUUCUUUGAUAAUAGCGUACCAAAAACAAUUUUUUAGUUUUGAUAACUGUACCAUGGUUAUGUAAUACAUUAACACUGGGGAAGCUCAGUGAAUAUGUGGACUCUUGGACUAUUUUUAUAACGCUUCUUGUGUAGAAGGUCUAAAAUGAUCUCAGAAUACAAAUUUAAAUAAAUUAAUUUAAUGCUCAAAACACCCUUGAUUGGAACUUACAGCUGGCCCUCUGUAUUCAUGGGUUCAACCAAUCACUAAUUAAAAAUAUUGGAAACAAAAAUUGCAUCUGUACUGACCAUAUGCAGACUUUUUCUUGUUAUUAUUCCCUGAAUAACACAGUAUACCGACUCUUUACAUAGCAUUUACAGCACAUUAGGUAUUGUAAGUAACACAGAGAUGAUCUGAAGCAUAUGGGAGGGUGUGUGGAGGUGGUAUGCAAACACUGCACCAUUUUACAGCACGGACUUGAGCAUCUGCAGAUUUUGGCAUCUCCGGG
rnacentral:lncRNA from 1 species